CUAUCGCGAUCUCGGCUCAUUGCAAGCUCCGCCUCCCGGGUUCAUGCCAUUCUUCUGCCUCAGCCUCCCGAGUAGCUGGGACUACAGGCGCCUGCCACUACACCUGGCUAAUUUUUUUGUAGUUUUACGCUCUUGCUUCCGUCACCUCGUGCUUUGAAACAUAACCACAGUGUGCUGAGGUUUCACAUUGUUACAUCCUACAAGCGUGCUUACCUGCAUCACCUUGCUGGGCUGUUUCAGCAUUGGAAUAUCACUGGGAAUCUCAAGUUCCCAGGAGCCAACCACGAGAGCUUCACAGCUCAGAAUUUUCAAGAUGUGGAUGUAGGCAGGGAGCCUAUGUAGUAAUUCAAGUAAGCAUCUCUUCUUCUUGUUUUCCUUAUAGGAUGAUAGAAGGUCAGUGCUUGUUCACCCCAGUGAGGUGGAGCCACUCUUACCCAGAGCCCUACACAUGGCCUUUCCUGCAUGGCAGAUAUAGGGCCAUCAGAUUUCUUACAUGGUGCAUAUAGUUGUCAUUUAUAAUCAUCUGUCCAUUCCUGUGAGGUGGGAGCAGUAAAGUUAAUUGUGGCAGCUCAUUUGCAUUAAUCUCACCUCUGAAGGGUACAGUAACCCAUUAAUAUCACGUCAUGAUGAAUUAUCACAAAUAACAUUGAACAUAUUGAUUAAUGAUCUCUGAGAUUUGUAUCUCGUUAAAACAUUUUGUUAGCUCUUUAAACUUUUAAGCCAACAACCAUUGCGUGUAGGAGGGGUUUAGAGAUCAUCUGAGAGGUGGUGGUGGGUGGUGGUGUACUUUGUAGGGUCACUGGUUUAAGGGGUUGGACAUGCAGGGUAAGCACACUGUUUUGCACUCCACACAAUUCACUUCACAAUAUUUCAUAGAGACUUUUUCAUAUUAAUAUAUAAAGAGAUAUAUACGCGUGCUGCUUCACGAUAAUCCAUUGCAGAGCUGGUCUGUAAUUUAUUCAAGCAUUCUUUGUUGAUGGAUGUUAGGGUUGUAUCCAUUAUUUUGCUAUUAUGAACAACACCAUAAUGGGCAACCUUGUACACAUUUCCUGUCAACAUGUAUCACUGAAUGGAAAGGAUCUAUUCCUAGAAAGGAUCCAUUCCUAGAAGAGGAAUUCUGUACAAUAUGGCCAACUUUCUCUCUGUUGAGGUUGAACCAUUUGACACAUUUCGCUAGCAUUGGGAAAAUCCCCAUUUUCCUCACUAUCCAUUUUUCUUCCUCUCUUUCCUUCCUCUUUUCCCUUCUUCCUCUUUUUUUUUCUUUUCUUUCCUUCCCUUUUUCCUUUUCUUUCCUUCUUUCCUUGCCAUUUAAAACAUACUGAUAACUUGGCAGCACA
rnacentral:lncRNA from 1 species